rnacentral:rRNA from 1 species
GACGAACGCUGGCGGCGUGCUUAACACAUGCAAGUCGUACGGUAAGGCCCUUUCGGGGGUACACGAGUGGCGAACGGGUGAGUAACACGUGAGUAACCUGCCCACAACUUUGGGAUAACGCUAGGAAACUGGUGCUAAUACUGGAUAUGUGCUCCUGCUGCAUGGUGGGGGUUGGAAAGCUCCGGCGGUUGUGGAUGGACUCGCGGCCUAUCAGCUUGUUGGUGGGGUAGUGGCCUACCAAGGCGGCGACGGGUAGCCGGCCUGAGAGGGUGACCGGCCACAUUGGGACUGAGAUACGGCCCAGACUCCUACGGGAGGCAGCAGGGGGGAAUAUUGCACAAUGGGCGCAAGCCUGAUGCAGCAACGCCGCGGGCGGGAGGACGGCCUUCGGGUUGUAAACCGCUUUCAGCAGGGACGAAGCUUUUUGUGACGGUACCUGCAGAAGAAGCACCGGCUAACUACGUG